rnacentral:lncRNA from 1 species
UUCCCCUGGAUAACCAGGAAUAUUCUCUCCUUUUUUCCCCUGAAUAACCAGCAAUGUCCUCUCCUUUUUCCCCUGAAUAACCAGGGAUGUCCUGCCCUGCUUCUCUCCAAGCUCAGUGCUGGAGAUGGGCAGGGCAGCACAGCCAGGGGCAUUUCCUUUUUUUUUAGAGGAAAUUCCUCAGGUGAGCAGCACCUGGCAGCCCAUGAAAUAUCAUUUUAUCCCUCCCAAUGGAUAUCAUUUUAUCCCUCCCAUUGAGAUAUCAUUUUAUCCCUCCCAAUGGAUUAUCAUUUUAUCCCUCCCAGUGCAGAAGGUUUCCCAGGGCCAGGUGGGAGCUGAGCUCCAUCCCUGCCCUCCUGGCUCCUCCAAGGGAAUCCUCUCCCUGGAUGUGUUCAUCCCUCACUCUGGGGAGAUGCUCCACCUUUCCUUGAGCAUCUGCCACUCCUGCAGCUCCAGAUGGGGAAUUUUAUCAGCUCAUCAUUUCUGGAAUUACCCAAAUGAUGGAAUUACCACACACCUGCUUCUGGGCAGGGGCUGUUCCCAGCCCCUGGAGCUCCCUUGGGCCAGGGGGGAUUUCAGAUAAUCAAAGUUUAGCCUGAACAUCUGAAUUUAGCCUGGACAAACGUCCACAAAAAGCUGCCCAUCAUCCAUCUGAGUGCAGGAAAUCAACCAAAUCAAACCAAUAAAACACAAAAGUGUUUUUUCA